UAGCUUGAAGCUGGCUUAAGAGUAGGGUUAUCUGGCCUCUUCUCCUGCCUUAAACUUAAAGUAAAAAAUCCUUUGUAGAAAUGAUUCAAGAAAGCAUUAUUAUUUAUAACCACAUAUAGUUGCAGAUUUAAACCUUUUUACUAGACUUUUUUUAACUAAGGAUUGUCUUCUGGACUUUUUAUUAUUAUUAUUUUCUACCAUUUUCUCUUUUGGAAUAAUUUUUUUUUGGGCACUAACAAGAUUUUUGCUGAUUGAUCUUGCAUCCCUCCAUCUCACUGCUUGCUUCAUGAGGACUCAUUGGUGGAACUACAGGCUCUUGUGAAACAGGAGGAUAGACAGCACUACAGAUGUGCUGUAUACAAGUUUUUGUUUUUUUUGUUGCAAUCAAAUUACAAAACAACAGUACUAUUUACAGUGACAAUGAAGACUUUUAAAAUGUUUGUUUCAGGUUAUUCUUCUGGUGUGUUGAAGGAAAGACUGAAAGAAGAAAGUGGUGUGGGAAUAUUCCAUGGCAGGCCACUAUGACAACUGUGAAUCUCUCGGCCCUUCCUGAUAAAGGCCAAAGGCUUUUAAACCAAGUUAAGGAACUGGAAGAUGCACUAGGCUCUCUGAGUUUAACUCCUGUUUCAGACUGUGAUGGGAAUCAAGUUGUAAACUCACAAUACAGCGCUUUGUAUGGAGGUCGUAUGACUGACGACAGGCUUCUGGCUGUCCGUAAUCCAGUAAAUCUCUGGAGUCCUGUCCUACUGCAGAAACUGAAGCUGAGGACCCAAAGGGGCUCAAAGUCACCCUGCUGCCUCACCAGAAGCAGGCUUUGGCGUGGUUACUUUGGCGCGAGACUCAAAAACCAUGUGGAGGAAUUCUGGCUGAUGAUAUGGGUCUGGGUCUCAGAAACCCAAAGAAAAGAAGAAAGAAAAAGAAGACAAAAAGCUGGAAGGAUGGAUUUCAAAAAAUGCAAAAAAUGUGUAUUGCCAUGUACACAACACAGCUUGAUAAGUAGUAUAGCACAAUGUUUUAAUCCAGAAAGGAAAGAUCCAACUAAUGUAAAAUAUAUUAUUAUCCUUCUGAAUUACAACCAAACCCCCAACUGCUACAGGUAGUGCACAUAAAUUACAGGUUUCUUGUAGUGGCAAUGGAAAUAGAAAAAAAAAAGUGGCUUUUAAGCCCCAACUUCUGAAGGAAAAACCAUGAAAGAAUGCACUUUUAUAGACACCUAGGAAUCCUAUUUUGUUUUAUUCUAUUUUCCAAAUUAAUUUAUAAUGGUGGGACCUUGAUACUUUACAUAUGAAGGAAAUUGAAAGUGUUUGACACUUCUGUCUUUAGGUUUCUCAGGUGCUCGCCCUUCAACGAAUAUAAGCCUUGGAAGAAUCAGGUAGACAAUGGCUCAAAGAGGGGAGGAGAAAGACUGAAUAUUCUCACAAAAACCCUUCUUUUGCGGAGAACCAAAGGCCAACUUGAUUCCUCUGGAAAACCUUUGGCAUGAGCUGUUUUUGUUUUUUUGUAUGUAUGUUUCUUUGUGUGUGUGUGUAUGUGUGUGUCUGUGUAGGUGAGUGAGAGGAUGGGGUGGUCAAUAUUACUUUUAUGUUUACAACAUGAUAAACAUGUUUUAGGUCUCUCUGUCUGACUGUUGCUGCCAAACCCAUCGCUUGAAACUUUCUGAGGGCGAACAGUUGGUCUAUGAUGUAGUUUUUGCACUACAAUCGAUGGAUCUGUCAAUCCCAAAAAGAGAAUUCCUCUCGUGGAGGAAUUCAGCACCAACCCCAAAGGACCAGAGGUAGUCACACUGAAAGCAAAUAAAGUCAGAUGUCAGUUUUAUUUAGCAUCCUGGGAGAAAAAUACAUCUUUUUUUUUUUUUGGUUGUCUUUUUGUUUAAUCUGGGUUUGUGUGUGAGGGGACUGUAGAAGAUAAGAUCACAGAACCUCAAGACAAGAAAAAAGAACUGGCAAAGAAAGUGCUAUCGGGAACAGGAGACUUACAUUGGCUGACCUCAAGAUCCUUUUUGGUG